UACAGAGGUCCCAAGCGUUGUUCGGAUUCACUGGGCGUAAAGGGUGCGUAGGCGGGUCUUUAAGUCAGAGGUGAAAUCCCAAGGCUCAACCUUGGAACUGCCUUUGAUACUGAAGAUCUUGAGUUCGGGAGAGGUGAGUGGAACUGCGAGUGUAGAGGUGAAAUUCGUAGAUAUUCGCAAGAACACCAGUGGCGAAGGCGGCUCACUGGCCCGAUACUGACGCUGAGGCACGAAAGCGUGGGGAGCAAACAGG
rnacentral:rRNA from 1 species